CUUGUUGAACUUGAAAGAUCUAGAAAAGUAUUCAAAGCCUUGGAUACUUCCCAGAAAUGUGUUCAUGCUGUACUGGCCUGAAAAUCUAGCAUGAAAUCUACAGCUCAAAUGCUGACCUGGGAUUUCCAUUCUUUCUUUGUGUGGUAUUUCAAUAACAGAAGGCUUCUCAUCUGGCUUGUUUUAUGUUUUUGGCUAGUUCUUACACCUCUGAACCAUUUUGCUACCUGUACCUUUUUAAUCACAUUUCUAGCAGAGGCCAAAUACAAAAGCAAUGCCAGAGGAACAGGGAGCUGCAGGGAACCACAGAUCAACAUAUCUUGAAGGAAUGGCAGCAGGUUUGGGACUUGAAGCUACACUGGAAAAAGCUGCGCUUCUAAGCCGGAGUAAGCAGGUCCUGGCCAUGAUAAGGCUGACAGUAGGCUCCCAUCCACAUACAGGAAUUGCAGUGGUGGCCACAGUACUUGCAAGUAAAAAGAAUGGCUGCAGGUUGAAGCUUUACAGAAAAUCAGUGGAGAAUAAUAUACUAAAACCCUUGCAUAUGUGUUGGAUCUGCCUUGCCAAUGUGUUUAGACUGUUACUGUAAUCUGGAAUACAACCUGCUUACUGUGACG
rnacentral:lncRNA from 1 species